rnacentral:rRNA from 1 species
CCUACGGGUGGCAGCAGUGAGGAAUAUUGGUCAAUGGACGAGAGUCUGAACCAGCCAAGUAGCGUGAAGGAUGACUGCCCUAUGGGUUGUAAACUUCUUUUAUAAAGGAAUAAAACAAGGCACGUGUGCCUUUUUGUAUGUACUUUAUGAAUAAGGAUCGGCUAACUCCGUGCCAGCAGCCGCGGUAAUACGGAGGAUCCGAGCGUUAUCCGGAUUUAUUGGGUUUAAAGGGAGCGUAGAUGGGUUGUUAAGUCAGUUGUGAAAGUUUGCGGCUCAACCGUAAAAUUGCAGUUGAUACUGGCAGUCUUGAGUACAGUAGAGGUAGGCGGAAUUCGUGGUGUAGCGGUGAAAUGCUUAGAUAUCACGAAGAACCCCGAUUGCGAAGGCAGCUUACUAGACUGCAACUGACACUGAUGCUCGAAAGUGUGGGUAUCAAACAGGAUUAGAUACCCUUGUAGUC